UACGUAGGGUGCAAGCGUUGUCCGGAAUUAUUGGGCGUAAAGAGCUCGUAGGCGGUUUGUCGCGUCGAAUGUGAAAACCCGGGGCUCAACCUCGGGCCUGCAGUGGGUACGGGCAGACUAGAGUGCGGUAGGGGAGAUUGGAAUUCCUGGUGUAGCGGUGGAAUGCGCAGAUAUCAGGAGGAACACCGGUGGCGAAGGCGGGUCUCUGGGCCGAUACUGACGCUGAGGAGCGAAAGCGUGGGGAGCGAACAGG
rnacentral:rRNA from 1 species